ACACUCGAUUGCGAGCUUCAGAG
rnacentral:snRNA from 1 species